AUUGAACGCUGGCGGAAUGCUUUACACAUGCAAGUCGAACGGCAGCACGGACUUCGGUCUGGUGGCGAGUGGCGAACGGGUGAGUAAUACAUCGGAACGUGCCCAGUCGUGGGGGAUAACGUAGCGAAAGCUACGCUAAUACCGCAUACGAUCUAAGGAUGAAAGCGGGGGAUCGCAAGACCUCGCGCGAUUGGAGCGGCCGAUGGCAGAUGAGGUAGUUGGUAGGGUAAAGGCCUACCAAGCCGACGAUCUGUAGCUGGUCUGAGAGGAUGAUCGGGCACACUGGGACUGAGACACGGCCCAGACUCCUACGGGAGGCAGCAGUGGGGAAUUUUGGACAAUGGGCGCAAGCCUGAUCCAGCCAUUCCGCGUGCAGGAUGAAGGCCUUCGGGUUGUAAACUGCUUUUGUACAGAACGAAAAGGCUCUGGUUAAUACCCGGGGCUCAUGACGGUACUGUAAGAAUAAGCACCGGCUAACUACGUGCCAGCCGCCGCAGUAA
rnacentral:rRNA from 1 species